rnacentral:misc_RNA from 1 species
UGGACUUUGAACCUGCCCCUGAUAUCGAUCAUCUUAAUAUCAGAGUGCAGAAAGAGUUAUCUGAUUGGAUGAAUUGGCUCAAGUCUGAAAUUGGAUUUGAUGGCUGGCGUUUCGAUUUUGUUAGGGGAUAUGCACCUAACAUCACCAAGAUUUACAUGGGAAACACGUCCCCGGAUUUUGCAGUUGGUGAAUUUUGGAACUCUCUUGCAUAUGGACAGGACGGGAAACCGGACUAUAACCAGGACAAUCAUAGGAAUGAGCUAGUUGGUUGGGUUCAAAAUGGGGGUGGGGCUGUAACAGCCUUUGAUUUCACAACUAAGGGAAUUCUUCAAGCUGCAGUUGAAGGAGAGUUAUGGAGAUUGAAAGAUUCCCAUGGAAAACCCCCUGGGAUGAUAGGUGUUUUGCCUCAAAAUGCUGUGACUUUUAUCGAUAAUCAUGAUACUGG